CCUACGGGGAGCAGCAGUGGGGAAUAUUGGACAAUGGGCGAAAGCCUGAUCCAGCCAUGCCGCGUGUGUGAAGAAGGCCUUCGGGUUGUAAAGCACUUUCAGUGGGGAAGAAAGCCUUGGGGCUAAUACCCUCGAGGAAGGACAUCACCCACAGAAGAAGCACCGGCUAACUCCGUGCCAGCAGCCGCGGUAAUACGGAGGGUGCGAGCGUUAAUCGGAAUUACUGGGCGUAAAGCGCGCGUAGGCGGUCUGAUAAGCCGGUUGUGAAAGCCCCGGGCUCAACCUGGGAACGGCAUCCGGAACUGUCAGGCUAGAGUGCAGGAGAGGAAGGUAGAAUUCCCGGUGUAGCGGUGAAAUGCGUAGAGAUCGGGAGGAAUACCAGUGGCGAAGGCGGCCUUCUGGACUGACACUGACGCUGAGGUGCGAAAGCGUGGGUAGCAAACAGGAUUAGAUACCCUAGUAGU
rnacentral:rRNA from 1 species